ensembl:lncRNA
AUAAAACAUGAUAUAUACAGUAGAAGAGUUUGUUUAAAACAAUACAUUUUACCUGUAUGAAAAUAAUGUAUUUAAAUGUCCCCUUUAUUUCUUUAAAAGUGUCUACUGCAUACCUAAGAAUGGAGGGGGCCCAAGUAGCAUUUGCUGUCUUCAUCCCCAUCAUCCUCCUCCUUGUCCUCGUUAUGGGGAUCUACCUCUACUUCUCAAAGGUUCAGAGGAAGCCACCACAUCUCUCCCUGUCGUCCAACCUACCAUAUGAAAACAUCACUGGAGAAUGUACGUUUGACAACUCAGUUUAUGAGACAACGGAAACAAGAGAAUAUGAGGUUUCGAUCUGAAGACACCAGUGUAUGUGUUUCAGUAUGGACAGAUAAGAAGCCUGCUGGCCUUUCCAACGUCUGUCAGACUCACACCUUUGGUGACUCCCUUCACCCUGUUCUCUGUACACUGAAUAUGAGCCUCCCUUUAUUUAUCCAACAGAGGACACCACACUACCCCUGGAAAGGCUGGGCUACCGGAUUAUUUUUCUAGCUCUUCAACAGCAACCGUCCAGCAGCAGCAGUUUGUACAGUUUUUAAUCCUGUGCUUGCAUCCUGAGGACUUCCAGUGCAAAGUGCCAUCUCAGAAAGCAGGGAAUCAAUGCGAAGCUUGUGCUAUUAAAUGCAUAUAACCACAGAUGUUACAUUGUGUUAUGUACAUUAUACGCUAUAUGUCUCCUGCCACCAUUUAAAGACCAUUCCUUGGAUUUAUGGGAUGUCUAUUAAGAGUAAAAUCUUACAAUUGAAACAACAGCAUUUGCUUUUAACAGAGUAUGCCCAAAUAAUUUGCUCUUUGAAUUGAUGCAACCUUCUGAGAUAAUCAGAAUGUGCCUUAAAUAAAAAGGGCCUUGAAGGAAUAUCUAUCUUUCUGAGAGUGAGAUGAGAAAAUUGAUAUCAUUAUCGUCUGCGUGUUAAGUACGGAGCUGGACUAAAAAAAUGCUAGAUUAUAGUUACCGAACAUAGUUUUGGGCUCUCAAGUCUCACGCAUUCACCAUGAGACAUGUAUUUGAACCAGUUCACACGCUCACACGCCACACCUUCUAUAAACCCAGUGAAAGCGAUAAUUGACGCGCCUGCAUCAAUCCCUCCCUUUUUUCACAUCAUUUAUGAACGCCAUUCCAAUCAUUAUUGGGCUUUUUAAAGAAACUUCGGACACUCAGCUGCCGUUACAGUUUGCAAUAUGUGCGCACCGCCGCUGCGCGAUUCACACAAUUCACACAAUCAUUAACCCUCGGGUUGUCCUCGGGUCAAAUUUGACCCAUUUUUAAAAAAAAAUGGGUUUAUCAGAAAAGUGGAUUUCUUUCAACCAAAUUUUCAGAAAAAUAACGCGGAUUGUUCCACACAAUGCUCUUCACACGUAAAAUAAAUGAUCAGCCCACUACUUUCUUUAAAUCUGGAUGUUUUAUUCAAUUUUAUAGCAUUAAAAAAACAAGAACAUUGAAAAAAGUGACAAACAUGUCCGCAAAGGCUUAAAAAACGUGGGGGGAAAAACCCACAAAAACGUCAAAGGCGCAGAAAAAAAUUGACAAAAACAUCGCAAAAAGUGACAAAAACAUCGGAGGGAAAAGCAACAAAAGCUUUAAAAAAGAUGAUCAAAACGUUGAAGAAAAAGUUUAAAUUUUGAACCAGAAAAACAAAAAGUUGCAUGGUUGACAGGAAGACAACACAAGGGUUAAUAUCCUCUGCUCUCGUAUUUCAACGUAAAAAAACUAACAGAAUACUGUGCGGAUCUCCGCUGUGCAUUCACGCACCACCACGCUGCCCUCACGCCUAGUGAAGUCAGUACACAAGGCAGACAGAAGUGAUGGCCUAAUGAAGCUUUGUGAAGCAUUUUCUUUAUUUUCUGGGCCCACCAGAUGGCGCUUUUGUUAAACAAAGGGUUGAACACUAUGGAUCCAUAGUACACUGAGCUGCCAUUCCUUGAGUGUUUUUCUUCAAACUGAGAGCACCAUCUAGUAGGCUCAGAAAAUAAAGAAAAUGCUUCACAAAGCUUCAUUUGGCCAUCACCAGAAGAAAGCAUUAAAUGGAGCAGCCACUGGUGUACUUUUAAACGUGAGUAGUCAUUCAUGGCACCAGCAGCUACUACUACUGCUCUGUGUGCAGACAGGAGAACUCAGGUGCCCAUCAAGGUGUGACAGAUAUGAACAGGCAGUCAACAAGUGUAAUAGUUUUAUGCUGUUCAGUGGACUCGUUUGGGGCCAAAUUUCUUUAUAUCUUUGAUAAAAAUUUUAUUUGGAUGAAUUUGUUUGUAAUUUAUCAGAUUUACCAAUUGUUAUAAUUUAUAUUGCUGGUAAGUUAUAAAAAAUAGUAAAAUUGAACUGCUAGCAAAACCUUUGAGAGAAUUAGACGUGGGAAGUAGGGGAGCAAGGGGUGCAAUAAAUAAGGUCUUAUGAUUCUUAUUACAAACGUUCUGGUCAGUCAGGAAUAGGCGUGUUUUGAAAUAUAAAUAGCUAUGAGUUUUGUGGGCUAAUGCACAAUAAGCCUAAUUCUCCUUUGCAAUAAUUCACAACAUUUACAAUCAGGGAGGCAGACUCAUAAAAAUAUACAAUAAUUAAGAUCAGUUUAUAUGAUAUAUAUAGGAAUGAUGGAAUAGGGGCAUUAAAAUGUGUCAGAGGCCACCAAAUUUGGGCUUUUAUGGCCAAAAAAAUUGGCUUCCCCCAGAACCCCCUAAAUCCCACCCCCAGAUGUGAUCUCACUCCAAACAUUUGAUAAAACUUGAGAACUCUUACUGAACGGAACUGGCGUUCUUGUUACUUAUAAGGUGAGUCAUGUCUUCAUGUAUAAUGAAUUCUAAAGUAGAUCACUGCUACGUUUGGUCUCAUAUUUAUUCACUACAUUGUCGCUUUGUGUGUUAACACCUGCGCAGUAUGCCGGUAACUACAUUCUAGCAUCUGCUUCCCGUAAUUAUGCUAAGUAAGGCUAACCACACACUGACUUCAGCAUGCAAUUGUUAUCAAUUUUCCCAUCUCACCCUCAGAAAGACAGCAAAUUAGGCAUUUUUACCAGAGUGAUGAACCACAAAGAAUCCCAGGCAUCGUACAAGUUUUUUAUUUAUAUUUUAGAAUGACAAUUUUUAUUUCAUUUAUAUCCAACAUGCAGAAUUAAAGACACAGACAUUUUGAUUUGGUUUACCAUCGUCAGAUUUGUGUAACACCUUUAAUUCAAAAACUUUUAGCAACAUCCUAUGUGUUGAACUUUUUUGAAGCAAAAGGAAAACGUGCACCAAGGUAAGCUGUUGCCAUCGCCUGUUUGGAGAUUGCGUCUAAAUUCAGACCAUUACUGUUGUUCAUACAUACAGUAUGUAUCCCAGCUCGUUGGAUGACAAUGAUAAUAUUAACCUAUUUUUGAUUCAUUGUAAGUACUGAUUAAGCUACUUCACAAGCAUCUUCAAUAAAAG